AGCUCCAAUAGCGUAUAUUAAAGUUGCUGCAGUUAAAAAGCUCGUAGUUGAAUUUCUGGUUUCGGUGCCCUUAGGUCGCAUCUUUUCUGCUUCUUUUCCUUCGGGGAAGGAGGUCAGAGAAGGUUGUGUGUUCUGAGGUUCAGCGCCGACCAUCCUUUCUGGAAGGUCACUCCUGCCCUUUACUGGGAUAGGGGGUGAAACAAACUUUCUGGAUCAUUUACUGUGAAAAAAUUAGAGUGUUUAAAGCAGGCUUUACCUAGCAUUUGAAUACAUUAGCAUGGAAUAAUAAGAUAGGACUCCGGUUCUAUUUUGUUGGUUUCUAGGAUUGGAGUAAUGAUUGAUAGGGAUAGUUGGGGGUGCUAGUAUUCAACGGCCAGAGGUGAAAUUCUUGGAUUCGUUGAAGACUAACUAAUGCGAAAGCAUUCACCAAGGAUGUCUUCU
rnacentral:rRNA from 1 species